AAUAGCCAACAAUUCCAUUCAGCAUCACCUACAACCUUCAGCUCCACGUGCUCUUGACUGCCUUGCCUGCAAAACCCAUCUGGGGAGUUUUCCAGAUGCAAAUCUGCAAAUUUAUCCACUUGCCUACACCACAGAGCCACCCUGAGGCUCUGCACAGUUGCAGAGGAGCUGUUUCUGAACCCUCCACGAAAAUGCCCAAGCACAGGCUGGUGGGCAGAAGAAGCACCUGGACUCUGCUCCUUGUGGCCUAAGGAAGAAGGACACAGUCAGGACAAUGGAGGCUGCAAUCCCAGCACAGCUUCAAUCCCAGCACAGCUGUACCCUGAGUUCCUGCUGCUGGAACCUUUACCUGGAUUGCCAAAUAAUAUUGUUUUUUUUUCUUGUCAACUUGCCCUGUACUCCUUCAUGUAUUCACUACUACACUUUUCACUACUUUUGAGGAAAAUCUGGAGCUUUUUGCAAUCAGUAUUUCUAUGCAAACUGACUUGUAUUUCAUAACAGGAGGCAUAAUAGGGAGGGAAGCCAGGUAGGGAACAGUAAAGACCUUCACCCUUUCUUCCUCACACACCUGUGAGCCAGAUGUAAACAGCUGCAUGGUAGGUGUCAUUUGUGAUCCAGACUUAAUACAAACCAUGUUAAGGAUUGACUACAAAUGGCUCCAUUAAAAAAAAAAGACAAAAUGCAUAGCUCAGGUAAGUAGCACCUCUUUUCUUAUUUCACCUUUCCUUUUAUCUUAUUUGCUUUCAUAUCUCUGCUAUGGAGGACACUCUUGUGUGGUGGGAUGAAUAGCAGCUGAAUUUCAUUAGUGUGGCCUGGGUGUAUUAAAUUGCUUAAAUAAACACUUGAGCAAUAUGCACAUUCUAAACAUUUGUUUAAGUUCUUACCUGAGCAGGAAUACUUCACUGCUAUUACUUACCUGCACCAACCCCAGUGACUAACCUGGCAGACUGGCUGGUUCUCUCUUUGAUAUUUCAUUUGGUGCAUGUAAAAUUUCCUAAUCCAAGAGUUUCUAGCAGCAAAUCCCUUUAAAUAUUGCAAGGGCAUUGCCUUACAGCAAAGCACCUUCUGAAAACUCCUCCAUGUAAGGAUAAUGGACUUGUUUUUGAGAUAUCAGAGCUGCAGUUGCCCUUGUUCAGCCCUCUACUCUGGAUUUUCACUACUUACUUCCCACUAAAUUUUCUAUUUUUGAAUGCCUUGGAUUGAUACAAGAACCCUUUAAUUUAUGUUUACUUUAAACUUGCAACUUCUUGUCCUAUCCAAAGAAUGUUGAUAGUAACUGUAGGGAGUGCACUGACUGUUUUCCAAUAAUCCAUGUUCCUUUGCUGGAAACUUUAACAAAUAUAUUGAUUUUCAAUCUGGAUCAUGAUAUUUUAUCAUCUCACACUUUACAAUGUCACAUUCCAGACAGCAACAGUUUGAUUCUCCUGUUAUUAUGAGCUAUUCAUAUUUUUAUUAGGCUGCUGAAUAGUUCAUGCUGUGUCAGAUCAUGCUGGUUUCUCUGUAGUAGUUGCAUUAUAAAGCCCUAAGGAAAUAUAUUCUGUAUAACAGGCCUGGCUCAGACUGGGUGUUAAAUCAAUGUUAUAAAACAGUUUGCACUUUAUUCUCUGCAUUUCUCUUCUUUGCAUUUCUUUCCCCUUCCUUCCUUCCUUCCUUCCUUCCUUCCUUCCUUCCUUCCUUCCUUCCUUCCUUCCUUCCUUCCUUCCUUCCUUCCUUCCUUCC